UGCCCCAUAUUAGUACCACUCUUUCCCUAUAUGAAACUGGUGGCUAUGCUAAUGGGGAAAAUAAACCAGUUGCAACCUAAAGGAGUUGAUGUCUAGCUUCUCCUAUGUGAAACAAACUGAACAUCAAAAA